UUGUAUUUCUCCUCAUUGACCUCUUCUCUCUUUCCAUAUCCAUUCCUCCUAGAUAAAACUUCUCUCUGGUGACGUUAAGACAUUUUGUGGAAGGGAUGUCCCUUCGUCCCUGCUCACAAGGUCUCAACUUGUUGAGAUUAUCUUCAGGACAGACCAUAAAGGAGCAAACCGAGGGUUUAGCCUCUAUUACAAAACAAGAGAGAUGAAAUGUACUGGACCUGUGACACCAAAAUCUAGUCUGUACCCGCAGGAUUCUGAAUAUCCCACAGGCUACAAAGUUACAGUGAAAUGUGACAAAGGACAUGUAUUGAAAUCACAUGAAUCAGCUGAGGUUGAGUAUGAGGCCACAUGC